AACCUGGUUGAUCCUGCCAGUGGUCACUGCUAUUGGGAUUCGACUAAGCCAUGCGAGUCGAGAGGGUUCGGCCCUCGGCUGACGGCUCAGUAACACGUGGAUAAUCUGCCCUUAGGUGGAGGAUAACCUCGGGAAACUGAGAAUAAUACUCCAUAGGUCUAGGAUGCUGGAAUGCAUCUAGACUGAAAACUCCGGUGCCUAAGGAUGAGUCUGCGGACUAUCAGGUUGUAGUCAGGGUAAAGACCUGACUAGCCUACGACGGAUAUGGGUUGUGAGAGCAAUAACCCAGAGAUGAUAUCUGAGACACGAUAUCAGGCCCUACGGGGCGCAGCAGGCGCGAAAACUUCACACUGUGCGAAAGCACGAUGAGGGAAUCCCAAGUGCCAGCUCGUAAGAGUUGGCUGUUUUUCUGUCUAAAACACAGAGAGAGUAAGAGCUGGGUAAGACGGGUGCCAGCCGCCGCGGUAAUACCUGCAGCUCGAGUGGUGGCCGCUAUUAUUGGGCCUAAAACGUCCGUAGCCGGUUUGGUAAAUGCCUGGGUAAAUCGUGUAGCUUAACUAUACGAAUUCCGGGUAGACUGCUAAACUUGAGACCGGGAGAGGCUAGAGGUACUCCUGGGGUAGAGGUGAAAUUCUGUAAUCCUGGGGGGACCACCAGUGGCGAAGGCGUCUAGCUAGAACGGAUCUGACGGUGAGGGACGAAGCCCUGGGGCGCAAACCGGAUUAGAUACCCGGGUAGUCCAGGGUGUAAACGCUGCUUGCUUGAUGUUAGUUGGGCUCCGAGCCCAAUUAGUGUCGGAGAGAAGUUGUUAAGCAAGCUGCCUGGGAAGUACGGCCGCAAGACUGAAACUUA
rnacentral:rRNA from 1 species